CUGUUUUCAUUAAUAUUUCUUUUCAUUAAAAGGAAUACAAAUAGAAGAGUCCUAUUUAUUUUGGAGACGAAACAGCACUCCCUUUUUAUCCUAACCGAAUUUAUUUUGAACAGGAAUAUCAACCUUGGUUUUUGAAGCAUAAAUAGAUCGGUUGCUAUUUUUUUUAAUGUUCAAAUUUGUUGUCUGAUGUUUCUUUUUUCCUUUUUUUUAAAUUCGUUUAAUUGUGAUGGCUUAAGAGCACGGUAAAGUGAAUAAUUUUUGUGUGUGUGUUCAAAAUUAUUGUUUGCAUUUUUUUUCUUAAUUUUGAUAUUAAUUUUUGUCUGAUUAUGAUGGUUUGAGAGAAGAUUAAAAUGAAUAAUCUGAUAUUAGAUUUGUUAUUGAAAAUUUAUUCUACUUACCUUUUUAUGCAGUUUUUUGAAACUUGAUGGGAGCUACAAUUAAAAUUGUGGUUGAAUAAACUUUAUAAUGGAGAUCGAAGAUGAUAUUAUUUAUUGGGCUUUAAGUUGGUGAAUGACGAAUAGUAAUGAGAGGUUG
rnacentral:lncRNA from 1 species